AUUGAACGCUGGCGGCAUGCCUUACACAUGCAAGUCGAACGGCAGCACGGGAGCAAUCCUGGUGGCGAGUGGCGAACGGGUGAGUAAUAUAUCGGAACGUGCCCGGUCGUGGGGGAUAACGUAGCGAAAGCUACGCUAAUACCGCAUACGAUCUACGGAUGAAAGCGGGGGAUCGCAAGACCUCGCGCGAUUGGAGCGGCCGAUAUCAGAUUAGGUAGUUGGUGAGGUAAAGGCUCACCAAGCCGACGAUCUGUAGCUGGUCUGAGAGGAUGAUCAGCCACACUGGGACUGAGACACGGCCCAGACUCCUACGGGAGGCAGCAGUGGGGAAUAUUGGACAAUGGGCGAAAGCCUGAUCCAGCAAUGCCGCGUGAGUGAUGAAGGCCUUAGGGUUGUAAAGCUCUUUUACCCGAGAUGAUAAUGACAGUAUCGGGAGAAUAAG
rnacentral:rRNA from 1 species